UCCUGGUUAACCCAGGCAGUCUCGUUAGAGUUCCCGCCUUUACGCGUUGGCAACUAACGAUAAGGGUUGCGCUCGUUGCUGGACUUAACCAAACACCUCACGGCACGAGCUGACGACAGCCAUGCAGCACCUAUAUAGAGAUCCUUUCGGGAAAUAUCAUCUCUGAUAUCGUCCUCUACAUUUCGAGCCCAGGUAAGGUUCUUCGCGUUGCGUCGAAUUGAACCACAUGCUCCACCGCUUGUGCGGGCCCCCGUCAAUUCCUUUGAGUUUCAGUCUUGCGACCGUACUCCCCAGGCGGCGAACUUAACGCGUUAGCUUCGACACUGAGCUCCUAAUUGAGCCCAACGUCCAGUUCGCAUCGUUUAGGGCGUGGACUAC
rnacentral:misc_RNA from 1 species